rnacentral:lncRNA from 1 species
GCCGGGCGUGGUGGCAGGCGCCUGUAAUCCCAGCUACUUGGGAGGCUGAGGCAGGAGAAUGGUGUGAACCUGGGAGGUAGAGCUUGCAGUGAGCCGAGUUCAUGCUACUGCACUCCAGCCUGGGCGACAGAGCGAGACUCUGUCUCAAAAAUAAAUAAAUAAAUAAAUAAAUAAAUAAAUAAAUAUCAACCAAAGGGAAGGUUGUUUAUUUAUUUAUUUUUUUGACGAAGUCUCCCUCCGUCACCAGGCUGGAGUGCAGUGGUGCAAUCUUGGCUCACUGCAACCUCUACC